CCUUUUUUCACAGAACCCAGGGCUGUAGCAGAGAACCAGUGGGAAAACCAAGAGCCAGAUCUCCAGACGAUUCACAAUACAGAAGAUUUUGAAGCUUCUGCUGAACCAGAUUAUUCUGUCAUUAUAAGGACAUGGACACUUAGGAGAACUGAGCGAAUACCAAAACUGGAUUCCAGGCCGCAACAGCAGGAAAAAGGAAAAGGACAUCUUCUGACAACAGUUUAUGAUGAACUACGAUGUAGUCCUGUAGAACCAGAGUAAAUGAAGUGCAAACGUACAAAUGCAUGGCCGUGUGUGAUGGACCAAGCACAAUUAUAGCUGGACUCACUUAUAUGUGCCUUUAUUGAGAGCAGCUGUUGUUACCUUUGUGAUGACAACUAUUGUCAAAGUGCCUUUGUCUAUCCUUAGCAGCAAUAGUACUUUUCUUGUGUAACGCAAACUCAUCGUAGUCCCAGCAGUUCUGCAUCACCCAUGCCAUGGCUUUCUACUUCUUUAAUUCCUGGAUUGAGGGUAGCAUUGAAUGAAAGUUAAGUCAAUGGUUAUUCCUGCUUCAUAAAGGCAGAACAGCUAUUAUCCCUAAUAAUUAUGCAGCAUUAUAAAAUGUUCACUAAAUAAAACGCAUGUUAAAAAUUAA